GGUCAGGGAUGAGCUCGCGGCCUAUCAGCUAGUUGGUGAGGUAACGGCUCACCAAGGCGUCGACGGGUAGCCGGCCUGAGAGGGUGACCGGCCACACUGGGACUGAGACACGGCCCAGACUCCUACGGGAGGCAGCAGUGGGGAAUAUUGCACAAUGGGCGCAAGCCUGAUGCAGCAACGCCGCGUGAGGGACGACGGCCUUCGGGUUGUAAACCUCUUUUAGCAGGGAAGAAGCGAAAGUGACGGUACCUGCAGAAAAAGCACCGGCUAACUACGUGCCAGCAGCCGCGGUAAUACGUAGGGUGCAAGCGUUAUCCGGAAUUAUUGGGCGUAAAGAGCUCGUAGGCGGUUUGUCACGUCUGCUGUGAAAACGCGAGGCUCAACCUCGCGCCUGCAGUGGGUACGGGCAGACUAGAGUGCGGUAGGGGAGAUUGGAAUUCCUGGUGUAGCGGUGGAAUGCGCAGAUAUCAGGAGGAACACCGAUGGCGAAGGCAGAUCUCUGGGCCGUAACUGACGCUGAGGAGCGAAAGGGUGGGGAGCAAACAGGCUUAGAUACCCUGGUAGUCCACCCCGUAAACGUUGGGAACUAGUUGUGGGGUCCAUUCCACGGAUUCCGUGACGCAGC
rnacentral:rRNA from 1 species